UGGAAGGACCCUUGAGCCUGGAAAGUCGGGGCUGCAAUGAGCCGUGAUUGUGCCAAUGAGCCCCAGAGAGAGCUUGGGUGACAGAGUGAGACCCUGUCUCAUUUAAAAAAAAAAAAAAAAAAAAAAGAUGAUUAGUGCAGGGGAGACUGUCAGUGAAUACCUUGGUGCCAUCAUAGGGCUCAGAUUUUCGUGCCUCAGCCUCCCGAGUAGCUGGGAUUACAGGCAUGCACCACCACGCCCAGCUAAUUUUCUAUUUUU
rnacentral:lncRNA from 1 species